rnacentral:SRP_RNA from 1 species
GCUGGGCAUAGUGGCAUGUGCCUGUAGUCCCAGCUACUCAGAAGGCUAUGGUGGGAGGAUUGCUUGAGACCAGGAGAGUCCAGGAGUUUGAGGCUGCAGUGUGCUAUGAUUGUGCCUAUGAAUAGCCACUGCACUCCAGCCUGGGCAACAUAGUGAGAUCCCAUCUCUU